rnacentral:rRNA from 1 species
AUUUGAAAUCUGGCCUCGGCCCGAGUUGUAAUUUGCAGAGGAUGCUUCUGGCGCGGUGCCUUCCGAGUUCCCUGGAACGGGACGCCAAAGAGGGUGAGAGCCCCGUAUGGUCGGACACCAAGCCUGUGUGAAGCUCCUUCGACGAGUCGAGUAGUUUGGGAAUGCUGCUCUAAAUGGGAGGUAAAUCUCUUCUAAAGCUAAAUACCGGCCAGAGACCGAUAGCGCACAAGUAGAGUGAUCGAAAGAUGAAAAGCACCUUGAAAAGGGGGUUAAAUAGUACGUGAAAUUGUUGAAAGGGAAGCACUUAUGACCAGACUUGGGCCGGGCGGCUCAUCAGGGGUUCUCCCCUGUGCACUCCGCCCGGUACAGGCCAGCAUCGGUUUUCGCGGGGGGAUAAGACGGUCGGGAACGUAGCACCCUCCGGGGUGUGUUAUAGCCUGGCUGACGAUACCCUUCGCGGGGACC